AUUAGAGUUUGAUCCUGGCUCAGGAUGAACGCUGGCGGUAUGCUUAACACAUGCAAGUCGAACGGAGUACUUCGGUACUUAGUGGCGGACGGGUGAGUAACGCGUGAGAAUCUGCCUUCAGGUUCGGGACAACCACUGGAAACGGUGGCUAAUACCGAAUGUGCAGCAAUGUGAAAUAUUAAUAGCCUGAAGAUGAGCUCGCGUCUGAUUAGCUAGUAGGUGUGGUAAGAGCGCACCUAGGCGACGAUCAGUAGCUGGUCUGAGAGGAUGAUCAGCCACACUGGGACUGAGACACGGCCCAGACUCCUACGGGAGGCAGCAGUGGGGAAUUUUCCGCAAUGGGCGAAAGCCUGACGGAGCAAUACCGCGUGAGGGAGGAAGGCUCUUGGGUUGUAAACCUCUUUUCUUAGGGAAGAAAAAAAUGACGGUACCUAAGGAAUCAGCAUCGGCUAACUCCGUGCCAGCAGCCGCGGUAAUACGGAGGAUGCAAGCGUUAUCCGGAAUGAUUGGGCGUAAAGCGUCCGUAGGUGGUUAGUCAAGUCUGCUGUUAAAGAGCAAAGCUCAACUUUGUCAUGGCGGUGGAAACUGAUUGACUGGAGUGCGGAAGGGGCAGAGGGAAUUCCUGGUGUAGCGGUGAAAUGCGUAGAGAUCAGGAAGAACACCGGUGGCGAAAGCGCUCUGCUAGGCCGCAACUGACGCUGAGGGACGAAAGCUAGGGGAGCGAAUGGGAUUAGAUACCCCAGUAGUCCUAGCCGUAAACGAUGGAUACUAGGCGUUGCUUGUAUCGACCCGAGCAGUGCCGUAGCUAACGCGUUAAGUAUCCCGCCUGGGGAGUACGCAGGCAACUGUGAAACUCAAAGGAAUUGACGGGGGCCCGCACAAGCGGUGGAGUAUGUGGUUUAAUUCGAUGCAACGCGAAGAACCUUACCAGGACUUGACAUGUCGCGAAUCCUGCCGAAAGGUGGGAGUGCCUUCGGGAGCGCGAACACAGGUGGUGCAUGGCUGUCGUCAGCUCGCGUCGUGAGAUGUUGGGCUAAGUCCCGCAACGAGCGCAACCCUCGUUCUUAGUUGCCAUCAUUAAGUUGGGAACUCUAAGGAGACUGCCGGUGACAAACCGGAGGAAGGUGGGGAUGACGUCAAGUCAGCAUGCCCCUUACGUCCUGGGCUACACACGUACUACAAUGCGACGGACAAAGGGCAGCUAGCAAGCGAUUGUCGGCAAAUCCCACAAACCGUCGCUCAGUUCAGAUCGCAGGCUGCAACUCGCCUGCGUGAAGGCGGAAUCGCUAGUAAUUGCAGGUCAGCAUACUGCAGUGAAUUCGUUCCCGGGCCUUGUACACACCGCCCGUCACACCAUGGAAGCUGGUAGUGCCCGAAGUCGUUAUCCCAACCUCAGGGAGGGAGACGCCGAAGGCAGGACUGGUGACUGGGGUGAAGUCGUAACAAGGUAACCAAU
rnacentral:rRNA from 1 species